UCCUAAGUCCUAACCCUAAUUCCUAUGAUACUUUCUUGAAGAACAUGAGUAAAUCGAUGUAUGUGAAAUUUGAGAAAUAUUGGGGAGAAAUUGAGAUCCUUAUGUCUAUUGUGUCAAUUUUAGAUCUCCAUUUUAAGAUGUUCUCAGUUGAGUGGACUUUUGAGAAGUUGCUUCUAGAGGAUGAAUGUAAGAUCAUGGUUCAAGACGUGAAAACAAGCUGCAAGAGACGAAGAAAAAUUGGAAAUCGAUGUGUUGACUCAAGACGGGUAUGAUAAUUGAAAUGAAAGGUUAUAUAUGUUGAUUUGAAGUGGAAUUUUGUGGAUGGAGAUGAUCAGGCUUUAAGAAGAUGUUUAUGGCUUUUGAACUAAAUGACAAUUUGUAUUUUGCACUUUAUUUUGUGAUUCAG